CUGGGUUAAAUCCACUCAAAGCUGCCAGAGAUGGCGGGGUGCCCUUCGGGGAAUGAGUGAGAAGGUGCUGCAUGGCUGUCGUCAGCUCGUGUCGUGAGAUGUUGGGUUAAGUCCCGCAACGAGCGCAACCUCUGUCGUUAGUUGCCAGCCUUAAGUGGGGCACUCUAACGAGACUGCCGACGUCAAGUCGGAGGAAGGUGGAGAUGACGUCAAGUCCUCAUGGUCCUUAUGCCCAGGGCUACACACGUGCUACAAUGGCCGGUACAAAGGGAUGCGAGACCGCGAGGUGGAGCCAAUCCCAAAAAACCGUCCUCAGUUCGGAUUGUAGUCUGCAACUCGACUACAUGAAGCUGGAAUCGCUAGUAAUCGGAGAUCAGCACGCUCCGGUGAAUACGUUCCC
rnacentral:rRNA from 1 species